GAUGAACGCUGGCGGCGUGCUUAACACAUGCAAGUCGAACGGUGAAGGCGGAGCUUGCUCUGCUGGAUCAGUGGCGAACGGGUGAGUAACACGUGAGCAAUCUGCCCCUGACUCUGGGAUAAGCGCUGGAAACGGCGUCUAAUACUGGAUACGAGCUGCGAAGGCAUCUUCAGCAGCUGGAAAGAACUUCGGUCAGGGAUGAGCUCGCGGCCUAUCAGCUUGUUGGUGAGGUAACGGCUCACCAAGGCGUCGACGGGUAGCCGGCCUGAGAGGGUGACCGGCCACACUGGAACUGAGACACGGCCCAGACUCCUACGGGAGGCAGCAGUGGGGAAUAUUGCACAAUGGGCGAAAGCCUGAUGCAGCAACGCCGCGUGAGGGACGACGGCCUUCGGGUUGUAAACCUCUUUUAGCAGGGAAGAAGCGAAAGUGACGGUACCUGCAGAAAAAGCGCCGGCUAACUACGUG
rnacentral:rRNA from 1 species